UACGUAGGGGGCAAGCGUUGUCCGGAUUUAUUGGGCGUAAAGAGCGUGUAGGCGGUCAGGUAGGUCCGUUGUGAAAACUCGAGGCUCAACCUCGAGACGCCGAUGGAAACCAUCUGACUAGAGUCCGGAAGAGGAGAGUGGAAUUCCUGGUGUAGCGGUGAAAUGCGCAGAUAUGCGGAGGAACACCGAUGGCGAAGGCAAUCCCCUGGACCUGUACUGACGCUCAUGCACGAAAGCGUGGGGAGCAAACAGG
rnacentral:rRNA from 1 species